GGGGGGUGCGAGCGUUGUCCGGAAUCACUGGGCGUAAAGGGCGCGUAGGUGGUUUGAUAAGGGUGUGGUGAAAGUCCGGGGCUCAACCCCGGAUCUGCCGUGCCGACUGUCAAACUCGAGGGCUGUAGAGGCAGGCGGAAUUCCGGGUGUAGCGGUGGAAUGCGUAGAGAUCCGGAGGAAGACCGGUGGCGAAGGCGGCCUGCUGGGCAGUUUYUGACACUGAUGCGCGACAGCGUGGGGAGCAAACAGGAUUAGAUACCCUGGUAGUCCACGCCGUAAACGAUGGGUACUAGGUGCCUGGGGGAGCGACCCUCUGGGUGCCGGCGCUAACGCAGGAAGUACCCCGCCUGGGGAGUACGACCGCAAGGUUG
rnacentral:rRNA from 1 species